GCACGAGUUCCAGAGUGGUCAAAUGGGCAGGGUUAAGGACCCUGUGACUUAGUGUCUUCGCAGGUUCGAAUCCUGCCUCGUGCA
rnacentral:tRNA from 1 species